rnacentral:rRNA from 1 species
AGUGAACGCUGGCGGUAGGCCUAACACAUGCAAGUCGAACGGCAGCACAGUAAGAGCUUGCUCUUACGGGUAGCGAGUGGCGGACGGGUGAGGAAUACAUCGGAAUCUACUUUUUCGUGGGGGAUAACGUAGGGAAACUUACGCUAAUACCGCAUACGACCUACGGGUGAAAGCAGGGGAUCUUCGGACCUUGCGCGAUUGAAUGAGCCGAUGUCGGAUUAGCUAGUUGGCGGGGUAAAGGCCCACCAAGGCGACGAUCCGUAGCUGGUCUGAGAGGAUGAUCAGCGACACUGGAACUGAGACACGGUCCAGACUCCUACGGGAGGCAGCAGUGGGGAAUAUUGGACAAUGGGCGCAAGCCUGAUCCAGCCAUACCGCGUGGGUGAAGAAGGCCUUCGGGUUGUAAAGCCCUUUUGUUGGGAAAGAAAAGCAGCAGGUUAAUACCCCGCUGUUCUGACGGUACCCAAAGAAUAAGCACCGGCUAACUUCGUG